UACGAAGGUCCCAAGCGUUGUUCGGAAUCACUGGGCGUAAAGGGAGCGUAGGCGGCGUGGUAAGUCAGAUGUGAAAUCCCGGGGCUCAACCCCGGAACUGCAUCCGAUACUGCCCGACUAGAGGUAGGUAGGGGAGAUCGGAAUUCCUGGUGUAGCGGUGAAAUGCGCAGAUAUCAGGAGGAACACCGGUGGCGAAGGCGGAUCUCUGGGCCUUACCUGACGCUGAGGCGCGAAAGCUAGGGGAGCAAACAGG
rnacentral:rRNA from 1 species